rnacentral:rRNA from 1 species
UACAGAGGUCUCAAGCGUUGUUCGGAUUCAUUGGGCGUAAAGGGUGCGUAGGCGGCGCGGUAAGUCGGGUGUGAAAUCUCGGAGCUUAACUCCGAAACUGCAUUCGAUACUGCCGUGCUUGAGGACUGGAGAGGAGACUGGAAUUUACGAUGUAGCGGUGAAAUGCGUAGAUAUCGUAAGGAAGACCAGUGGCGAAGGCGGGUCUCUGGACAGUUCCUGACGCUGAGGCACGAAGGUCAGGGGAGCAAACGGG